GGGGACCUCCAGCCCCCCGGGGGGUCCCUGACGUUGCUGUGCCGAGGGUCGGGGUUCAAUGUUGGGGAUUAUGGAAUGCACUGGAUCCGCCAGAGACCCGGGCAGGGUUUGCAAUAUGUCGCAGGGAUCUACAACACUAGUGGCACCACCUACUACGCGCCAUCGGUGAAGGGCCGGUUCACGAUCUCCAGGGACAACGGGCCGAGCUCGGUGACGCUGACCAUGAACAACCUCAAGGACGAGGAUUCCGGAUCCUAUUUCUGUGCCAAAUCUGAUGCUGGUUAUGCGGAUAAUCCUGGUCAGUCGGGCCCCACUUUGGAGAAGGAUGAGAAGGUCUAG